rnacentral:rRNA from 1 species
UGGGGAAUUUUGGACAAUGGGGGAAACCCUGAUCCAGCCAUCCCGCGUGUGCGAUGAAGGCCUUCGGGUUGUAAAGCACUUUUGGCAGGAAAGAAACGUCAUGGGUUAAUACCCCGUGAAACUGACGGUACCUGCAGAAUAAGCACCGGCUAACUACGUGCCAGCAGCCGCGGUAAUACGUAGGGUGCAAGCGUUAAUCGGAAUUACUGGGCGUAAAGCGUGCGCAGGCGGUUCGGAAAGAAAGAUGUGAAAUCCCAGAGCUCAACUUUGGAACUGCAUUUUUAACUACCGGGCUAGAGUGUGUCAGAGGGAGGUGGAAUUCCGCGUGUAGCAGUCAAAUGCGUAGAUAUGCGGAGGAACACCGAUGGCGAAGGCAGCCUCCUGGGAUAACACUGACGCUCAUGCACGAAAGCGUGGGGAGCAAACAGG